UACGGAGGGUGCGAGUGUUAUCCGGAAUCACUGGGUUUAAAGGGUGAGUAGGCGGUUCGGUAAGUCAGUUGUGAAAGCCCCUUGCUUAACGAGGGAGGUGCUAUUGAUACUGUCGAGCUUGAAUCGGGAUGAGGCAGGCGGAAUGUGGCAUGUAGCGGUGAAAUGCAUAGAUAUGGCAUAGAACACCGAUUGCGAAGGCAGCCUGCUGGGCCUGUAUUGACGCUGAGGCACGAAAGCGUGGGGAGCAAACAGG
rnacentral:rRNA from 1 species